rnacentral:rRNA from 1 species
AGAGUUUGAUCCUGGCUCAGGAUGAACGCUAGCUACAGGCUUAACACAUGCAAGUCGAGGGGCAGCAUUAUCUUAGCUUGCUAAGAUAGAUGGCGACCGGCGCACGGGUGAGUAACACGUAUCCAACCUUCCGGUUACUCGGGGAUAGGCUUUCGAAAGAAAGAUUAAUACCCGAUGUUGCGUAUCUUUCUCCUGAAAGAUACGCCAAAGGAUUCCGGUAACCGAUGGGGAUGCGUUCCAUUAGGCAGUUGGCGGGGUAACGGCCCACCAAACCUUCGAUGGAUAGGGGUUCUGAGAGGAAGGUCCCCCACAUUGGAACUGAGACACGGUCCAAACUCCUACGGGAGGCAGCAGUGAGGAAUAUUGGUCAAUGGACGCAAGUCUGAACCAGCCAAGUAGCGUGAAGGAUGACUGCCCUCUGGGUUGUAAACUUCUUUUAUACGGGAAUAACAUGAGGUACGCGUACCUUAUUGCAUGUACCGUUAUGAAUAAGCAUCGGCUAACUCCGUGCCAGCAGCCGCGGUAAUACGGAGGAUGCGAGCGUUAUCCGGAUUUAUUGGGUUUAAAGGGAGCGUAGGUGGGAUAUUAAGUCAGCUGUGAAAGUUUGGGGCUCAACCUUAAAAUUGCAGUUGAUACUGGUUUCCUUGAGUACGGUACAGGUGGGCGGAAUUCGUGGUGUAGCGGUGAAAUGCUUAGAUAUCACGAAGAACUCCGAUCGCGAAGGCAGCUCACCGGGCCGGAACUGACACUGAUGCUCGAAAGUGCGGGUAUCAAACAGGAUUAGAUACCCUGGUAGUCCGCACAGUAAACGAUGAAUACUCGCUGUUUGCGAUACACAGUAAGCGGCCAAGCGAAAGCGUUAAGUAUUCCACCUGGGGAGUACGCUGGCAACGGUGAAACUCAAAGGAAUUGACGG